GGACUCGAGGGUAGAGGAGAAGACUCUGGAGUGGGCGUGUGACUUCCUGGGAGGGAAGGAUGCGCAGAAUUUGGGGUGGUUAGAUUGUGGAAGAUUGCGACCCCCCGGCCCGGACAGGGUGAAUUUAGAGGUCGAAAGACGACCUUCCUCUUCACCAUCUUUCUGACCUCCGAUUGGAGUUCCUCUGGCCGCUUCACCGCAGGCUCUGGCUUCCUUUUCUCCAGGUACCUUUCUAUGGAGAGAUUAUGGACGUUUGCUGGUGAUGGUGGAUGGCGUGUGAGGCUCAGCUUAAGCACUUUUGGACUAACUCUGAAAACAAGAACCUGUACUGUUCCUUCUACAGCUGGAAUGCAAGAUCCUGAGUGGAGUCCAGGUGGUGGGUCUGGGAGCCUCCAGAGAGUCAUGGCCAGUCAGGAUGGCUGCCGUCCCCGUGCUUCUGGAGAGGGGCUUAGCCAAGAGGAAGCCACCCCAAAGGCUGAUCUCCUGACAGUUGAGCCGGUCCCCUGACAUGUGGCAUGCUGCAGAGCCUCGGAGGAAAGAGACAGCAACACUGACGAAUGAGCCCAGUCUUCUGCAGGCGUUUUCUCAUCUGGGGGUCCCUCCUCUCAGAUGACUCUAGCUUGUGUGAAGUUGACACAAAUCUAGCCAGCGGACUGCAUGAAACUCGGAGACUGGUCUUGGUGAGGAAACCAAAGGAGCUGACUCAGAAAGUCAACGGGAACCAAGAUACCCUGCGCAGCAGAGAAUUCAAAGUAUAUCAGGCUCAUGCUGGAAGAAGGCUCGGCAGUUAAGAGCAUAUACUGAGUCCAGAGGACCUGAGUCCACUUGCCAGCAAUCACACCAGGUGUCUAUAACUCUAGGUCCAGGCCAGAGCUCUGCAGCACCUACAACCAUGUGCGCACACACUUACAUAUAACUAAGACUAAUAAAAAUGAACGUUUUUAAAAAA
rnacentral:lncRNA from 1 species